rnacentral:miRNA from 1 species
UAGUUUAAAAUGCAGAUUCCUGGGCCCUGUCCUAGAACUAGCAAAUCUGAAUAUAAGAGUUGGAGCCCAGGAAUCUGCAUUUUAACCCACUUCCAUCCCACC